GCCCAGGUGGCGGAAUGGUAGACGCGCUAGUUUCAGGUAUUAGUGGAGAGAUCCGUGCAAGUUCAAGUCUUGUCCUGGGUA
rnacentral:tRNA from 1 species